CGGGGACCAUCACAUCUCCUAGCACUAUAUGUAUAAUCGUUAGUGAGCAUUCACCAAUGACACAGAGAGACAUUGCAAAGGAAUGUUGUGUGAGUUUUGGGCGCUGUAAAUAAAAUAAUAAAACAAAAUGUGGAAGAAAACGGAAAACUACUCCUCGAAAUGAAGAUUUUCUUUUGCGAGACAGCAAACUGCAUCCCAGAAAAACCAGCCACGACCGUCAGCAAAAUUUAGAAAAGGCUUGGGUGACAAUUCACAACUCUACGGUGUGUAGAAGACUCUUGAAAGGUGGGAGAAAAGCCAUAAGACCGCAGGAAGUCUCAGUUCCCCGCCAUGUUUCCAAGACUAUGGUGAAAUACUUCAAGGACAAGAAGAUUACUAUUUUGGACUAGCCUGGAAAUUCACCAGACUUCAAUCCUAGUGAGAAUCUGUGGGCCAUCUGCACAGUCAGAUUACAAAAAAUGGACUGUACCAUGAAAAUCAAAAUGGUGGAAGCAGACGCAUGGCUGAUGUAGGAAAGCGCAGGAAAUAUUUUAACUAGACCCGAGAUGCCUUCGUCGUCAUCUUUUUUAUACCCAAAAAUUGGAGUAAAAAGUGUGGUGAAGACGACCUCUACGUAAUUCCGAGGCGUAGUAGCUGAAACAUUGGUGUCCAUAACCUCCUUUACAUUGAAGUCGCUGUGGGGAACGUUUGACUUGUCCAGGGCACUCUGCAGGGCGCUCCAUAGGCAGUCAGGAUCUGCAGAGUCGUAUUCGCUAAACAACAAUGUAUUCAAUUUUUUAUGGCAUAUAGGAUAAAUAAGGAAGAAACUAUACUAACUGUCUGUCCAGAUAGUCUACGAUGCCCUUCUGGAAGACCUCUGGAGAGAUGAUAUUGGACAGCAUGUGCAGAAUCGAGGGAGCUAAAUUCAAAAAAAAUGUUAUUUAUGUUCUACAAUAUAGAAUGUUAUAGUUUGUACAAUAUGACACCUUUUUUAUAAAUGGCGAUUGAAAAGGCAGAUAUAAUUUCCUCGGGCGUUUCUAAUUCAACAUCGAUUGGAUUUGUAUGCCAUUCAGGAUCUGUAACAAGAGUAUCUUGAAGAGAAUUGAUUACAAAAUAAUCCAUCUCUCUCCAGUUCUUGUAUAUCUGGAAAUUAUGUUUGAAUGAGAAUAGGCAAUCGAAGAAAACAGUGUAGUGUUGGAAGUACGAGGCAAAUCCUUCGUUCAACCAAAUGUGCGACCACCAAAUUGGACUGACCUUAUUACCAAACCACUGAUGGGCUAACUCGUGUGCCACUGCCUUUGCAAUGUCCUGCUUUCGUUCCAGAGGAUCCUUACUCUCGUCAAAAACAAGAUAUAUUUCUCUGGAAAAGCAAAGAUCAGCAUUGAACAUUCAACUUGCCUCAAGCAUGGUUACUCACAAUCAGAAUUGAAGCAAUUACACACGUCACCAUUGCAAAUAAAAUUUUGGACAAUAAAACUGUUAUACUGUAUCAUGCGUAUCUUAUGUAUUACUAGUUGAAAAAUGCUACUUUAUACUAAAUAAAAUCAGAUUUAAAAUAGA